rnacentral:rRNA from 1 species
AUUGAACGCUGGCGGCAGGCCUAACACAUGCAAGUCGAGCGAGCGGCGGACGGGUGAGUAAUGUAUGGGGACUGCCCGAUAGAGGGGGAUAACUACUGGAAACGGUAGCUAAUACCGCAUACUAUCGGAUAACCCAGAUGGGAUUAGCUAGUAGGUGAGGUAAUGGCUCACCUAGGCGACGAUCCCUAGCUGGUCUGAGAGGAUGAUCAGCCACACUGGGACUGAGACACGGUCCAGACUCCUACGGAGGCAGCAGUGGGGAAUAUUGCACAAUGGGCGCAAGCCUGAUACAGCCAUGCCGCGUGUAUGAAGAAGGCCUUAGGGUUGUAAAGUACUUUCAGCGGGGAGGCGUUACCCGCAGAAGAAGCACCGGCUAACUCCGUGCCAGCCGCCGCGGUAAUAC